UGGGCUGGCCUAAAGGGCCCUGGUCCACCGAAUGGCGGGGAAUUACC
rnacentral:sRNA from 1 species